rnacentral:rRNA from 1 species
AAUGAACGCUGGCGGCAUGCCUUACACAUGCAAGUCGAACGGCAGCAUGACCUAGCUUGCUAGGUUGAUGGCGAGUGGCGAACGGGUGAGUAAUGCAUCGGAACGUGCCUUUUAGUGGGGGAUAACGUAGCGAAAGUUACGCUAAUACCGCAUAUUCUCUGAGGAGGAAAGCAGGGGGCCUUCGGGCCUUGCGCUAGAAGAGCGGCCGAUGUCGGAUUAGCUAGUUGGUGAGGUAAAGGCUCACCAAGGCAACGAUCCGUAGCGGGUCUGAGAGGAUGAUCCGCCACACUGGGACUGAGACACGGCUCAGACUCCUACGGGAGGCAGCAGUGGGGAAUUUUGGACAAUGGGCGCAAGCCUGAUCCAGCCAUGCCGCGUGAGUGAAGAAGGCCUUCGGGUUGUAAAGCUCUUUCGGCUGGGAAGAAAUCGCACUCUCUAAUACAGGGUGUGGAUGACGGUACCAGCAUAAGAAGCACCGGCUAACUACGUG